UUUAAAAUGUUUUUGCUAACGGUCAGCGAAUGAAUAACCAGACUCAGAAAGCGGAAGAUUGUUCAUUUGCACUGAAAGCAAGUUGCAACAUCCAAAUGGAAUUGGGGGUAGGAAUUCAUUGCAUUUCAAACUCAAAACCGAACGUGCUGGAGGUAUUGAAUUAAUACACUGUGGGCAUCCUCUUAAACAUGCAGGGGCUUGCUUGGAAAUCCUUUGUCUCGAGCCAGAAUGAAAUGUUCUGUGCUACGGUGUUGAAGAACAAGUAAAAAGCUUAUCGCUAGAGAAUUGAACUUCAACAAGAUCCCAGCGGAAGGACUUUUUGUUAAUUUCCCAGAGGGAAGGCGAUCAGCUGAAACCUAAUUGCUACUCAUUUUCUCUCACUUUCACUUUAUCCCUUGGAUUAAAAUCCUGCUGCUUUCAACUUACCUUCAGUCUGUUGGACAAGUACAGUUUCCUGAUAGCAGUGCUCAGAAAGACUAAGGGCUCACAGCAAGAUUUCCAACUUGGCUUUCUUUAAUACAGUUGCAUUAGAGAAAUGCCGAGGCAGCUUUAAAAGUUAGUAUUUUAAAAUAGGUUCUCAUGUCUCCUCUUCUUUCUAUUCAGCUUUCACCAACUAUGACUGUAUACACACACACUCCGUGACCCGAUGUGGAACUCCAGAUCAGCCCUGUCCUAGAAAUCCAGUUUGGAUCGGCUGGAGCCUGGUUCUGCCUGAAACAAGCUGGGGUGGAGAGACACAAUGGCAGCUUCCUGGCAGCAGGGCCACUGCAGUUUAAUGGAAGGGCAAAAGGCAACAUGGCAAGGAGGGCACCUCAGUGUGGACCCACCAAUGGGAGCACAGGAUUGGCUCCUCCUUGUAGGUAAGUGGCAGUGUGACCCCACUGCUAUGAAUCUAGCAUUGUGGCCGAAGCUGGAUGAGCUGCUUCUGAUCAGGAGCCCAGUGGGACAAAAGAAGCACACCACUGAAAUAUAUUUAUAGAAUGGAGGAAGGAAGAAAAACAGUUUAUAGAAAGCUUGGGUUUGGUAUCAGAUAGACUGGAAGCAGUUGAAGGGAGACUGUGUGCACAUUUACCUAUACCGGGAUUAGCGAAAGUGUUCCCUGCUUCAGGAGUCUAAUUGCUUCUGCCAUGUUCUGCUUAUAUAUUUAUAAUCAAAACAGAUAUUAUGAAUAGGCUAUAAGCCCUUCUUAUUCUGUCUCAUCUGAAGGAAAAGUAAACUAAUCCCCACUGUCGCUGGAACUCUCUCUGCACGGAGAACUGGGGAGUGCUUAACUUUAUAAAUAAAAAUUUAAAAAAUUGAAGGC